UCCUGGGUUUGGCUUGGCCCUGCUUUGUGUUGGGCCCUGCUUUGUGCUGGGCCCUGCUUUGUCCUUGGCCCUGCUUUGUCCCCUGGGCCCUGCUUUGUGCUGGGCCCUGCUUUGUCCCAGGCCCUGCUUUGUGCUGGGCCCUGCUUUGUCUCCUGGGCCCUGCUUUGUGCUGGGCCCUGCUUUGUCCUUGGCCCUGCUUUGUGCUUGGCCCUGCUUUGUCCCAGGCCCUGCUUUGUCCCAGGCCCUGCUUUGUCUCCUUGGCCCUGCUUUGUGCCAGGCCCUGCUUUGUGCCAGGCCCUGCUUUGUGCCGGGCCCUGCUUUGUCCUUGGCCCUGCUUUGUGCUGGGCCCUGCUUUGUGCUGGGCCCUGCUUUGUCUCCUUGGCCCUGCUUUGUGCUGGGCCCUGCUUUGUGCUGGGCCCUGCUUUGUGCUGGGCCCUGCUUUGUGCUGGGCCGUGCUUUGUGCUGGGCCCUGCUUUGUGCUGGGCCCUGCUUUGUCUCCUUGGCCCUGCUUUGUCUCCUUGGCCCUGCUUUGUCCUUGGCCCUGCUUUGUCCUUGGCCCUGCUUUGUUCUUGGCCCUGCUUUGUCCUUGGCCCUGCUUUGUCUCCUGGGCCCUGCUUUGUCUCCUUGGCCCUGCUUUGUGCUGGGCCCUGCUUUGUCCCAGGCCCUGCUUUGUCCUUGGCCCUGCUUUGUGCUGGGCCCUGCUUUGUCUCCUGGGCCCUGCUUUGUGCUGGGCCCUGCUUUGUGCUUGGCCCUGCUUUGUGCUUGGUCCUGCUUUGUGCUGGGCCCUGCUUUGUGCUUGGCCCUGCUUUGUNCUCUCUGUCUCUGCUGCCUUCCUCCAUCAUCCUCCUCUUCCUCUGGGGCUGUGUCCCUGCUGUGUCCCUGGUGUGUCCCCUGCUUUGUGCUGCUCUGCUCCUUGGAGCUCCAGCCCAGGGCCCUGUUUGCCAGCAGAGGUCUCAGGCUUUGCUGAGCUCCUCCUGCUCCCCAGGGAUAAAUCUCAGCUUUGCUGAGCUCCUCCUGGAUAAAUCUCAGCUUUGCUGA
rnacentral:lncRNA from 1 species